rnacentral:lncRNA from 1 species
AUUUCCCUGGGUUUCUGUGCACGUUGGGUGUGAAGGUGAUGGUGCAGCCAGACUGACUUGGCUGGAAGAGCUCAAGCAGAGCAAAUGCGGGAAAAAAAAAUUCUGAAGCUUCUCAUACAAACUGCUAAAUGAGAUCAGUCAGAUGGAAUUUGUGUCUCGUCUCUAAAUGUAAUCUCUAUCGCCUUGCAGCUCACCCUAGCUCAAAGCUAGGAUUCGGGCCCGCUCCGGGAAGGGACA